rnacentral:tRNA from 1 species
CGGGGUGUGGCGUAGCUUGGUAGCGCGCAUGAAUGGGGUUCAUGAGGUCGCAAGUUCAAAUCUUGUCACCCCGA